rnacentral:rRNA from 1 species
UGGACCUCAGAUCAGGCAAGAUACCCGCUGAGUUAAGCAUAUCACUAAGCGGAGAAAAGAAACUAACUAGGAUUUCCCUAGUAG